rfam:Ornithorhynchus anatinus chromosome 2, whole genome shotgun sequence.
CCCCGCUCAGGGUUGCGCCUGGAGAGUUUCCAGUACUCUACCAGCCUCGACUAUGGGUGGGAGAGGCAAGCAGAGGCAUAUCCAUUCCAUUCUUAGCUUGAGCAGUGGCUAGCGAGUGGAAAGCAAUUUGCUACAAGU